rnacentral:rRNA from 1 species
AAUGAACGUUGGCGGCGUGGAUUAGGCAUGCAAGUCGCGCGACAAGGAACCUUCGGGUUCUGGAGGAGCGGCAAACGGGGUAGUAAGGCAUCGGAACGUACCCUCUUGUUGGGAAUAGCCGCGGGAAACUGCGAGUAAUGCCCAAUAAUCCCUACGGGGCAAAGGUCCGCCGCAGGAGGAGCGGCCGAUGUGAUACCAGCUAGUUGGUGAGGUAAUGGCUCACCAAGGCUUUAGACGUCUAGGGGGUNUGAGAGCAUUGGCCCCCCACACUGGGACUGAGAUACUGCCCAGACACCUACGGGUGGCUG